UCUCUUCUCCUCUACAUCUUUCCCUCCGUUUCUCUCUGGGUGUGUCAACUUGACUUGGUCGGAUCCUAAUAUCCAAAAAUGAGUCUCUGCUAAUGGGGUAUUGGCAAGGGAAGGAGCUACCCAUUAACUUCAGGGAAUGAUUGUUGGAGCAUGGUUGCCAUGGUAAUCUUAUUUUGAUUAGAUGGAGAUAGACAAGGUCUCCAUGUUGAGGGUGGGAGGCAGAGAGGAGCUAAUUUCCCCACUAUCCUGUAGUGUUUCCAAUCUAGUAGAGGAACACUAAUAAUGAUGACACAAUUUACAGGGAACUUUUAAGUUUUGCAAGGCAUUUUGCAAAUAUUAUCUCAUUUAUCCUCCCAACAACUUGGGGUGGGAGGGGGGAUCAGCUCUCAUUUUCAAAAUAAGGAAACUGAGGCAAACAGAGUUAAGCGACUUGCUGCUAGGAAGUGUCUGAAGCUGGAUUUGAAAUCAGGACUUCCUGACUCCAAGCCCAACACUCUGUCCACCAUGUCACCUGAGACCUUGAUUGUUAGAGGGCCCGUAAAGGAACUGUAGCUUGAGGCCUUCCUCAGAAUGAGCAGGGCACGUUGGGUCUCAACCUUCUCUGUCCCCUUCCCAGUUCCUAGCCCACAUUAAGGGCUUAAUAAAUGAUGUCCCCCAAAUGAAGAAUGAAUAAACAGGCCAGACCCCAGGAGCAUCCCAUGGAGACCUCUUUUGGAUAGGGAUCUCAUACUGGCUGCGAUUCUUUGAGUCCCAUCAUUCAGCCAGUCCCUGCCUCCCUAAGCCUGUUACCAGCUGGUCCGCAUCUCUCCAUCUCAUCCGAAGUGACUUCUUGAGACUCUUGGCCAAAUGUCUGGCUGAAAUCAGUAGCCACUACCUUCCCCUUAUCUGGUAGGCCGGACCAAAAAAAAAAAAAAAAAAAAAAAAACCAAGGCAGAGAGGAUUCUGACCUGGCUCAUUCUUUUUUUUUUUUUUCUCUUCCACUUAAUAAUAUUUUACUUUUUUCCAAUUCCAUUCAUUUUUAUUCCAACAUUCACUUUCUUUUUUUAUUAUUAUAGCUUUUUAUUUACAAGUUACACGCAUGGGUAAUUUUUCAGCAUUGACAAUUGCAAAUCCUUUUGUUCCAACUUUUCCCCUCCUUCUCCCCACCCCUCCCCCAGAUGGCAGGUAGUCCCAUACAUGUUAAAUAUGUUAAAGUAUAAGUUAAAUACAAUAUAAGUCUACAUGUCCAAACCGUUAUUUUGCUGUACAAAAAGAAUCGGACUUUGAAAUAGUGCACAGUUAGCCUGUGAAGGAAAUCAAAAAUGCAGGCGGACAAAAAUAGGAUUGGGAAUUCUAUGUAGUGGUUCCUAGUCAUCUCCCAGAGUUCUUUCGCUGGGCGUAGCUGGUUCAGUUCAUUCCUGCUCUAUUGGAACUGAUUUGGUAUCUCAUUGAGGAAGAGGGCCACGUCCAUCAGAAUUGAUCAUCCUAUGGUAUUCCAACAUUCAGUUUCAUAAGAUUUUGAGUUCCAGAUUUUUUCUCCCUCCUUCAUCCCAGUCCAAGACGGCAAGCAAACUGAUCCAGGUUAUAUGUGGGUAAUCAUAUUAGACGUAUCUCCACAUUAGUUAUGUUGUGAAAGAAGAGUCAGAACAAAAGGGGAAAACCUCAAGAACAAAAACCCAAAAAGUGAAAAUAGCAUGCUUCCAGUUGCAUUCAGACUCCCCAGUUCUCUCCGGUUGUGGAUGGCUUUUUCCAUCCGGAGGCUUUUGGAAUUGUCUUAGAUCCCUGCAUGCUGAGAAGAGUUGAGUUGAUCCUAGUUGAUCACUGUACAGUGUUGUUGCCACUGUGUACAAUAUUCUCCUGGUUCUGCUCCCUUCAUUCGGCAUCAGUUCCUGUACAGAAUCAUUUUUUUUUAAAUCGUUUAAAUGACAAGUGUUCUUUAUUGCGACAGCGAGAGAUCAAAUCCUUGGAGCAAAAGUUCUUUUGGCUAAAGUUUUUUUUUUUUUUUAAAUAGUAUUUUAUUUUUCCAAAGACAUAUAAAGACGGUUUUCAACAUGCAACAGUUAGCAACGUUGUGUUCCAAAUUUUUCUCUUUCCUUCCCUUUUUCCCCUCUUCCCCAAGACAGCAAGACAUCUGAUACAGGUUAUAUAUGUAGAAUCCUUUUAAACUUAUUUCCAUAUAUGUCAUGUUAUACAAGAAAAAUCAUGUUAUACCCAAAAAAAAAAAAAAGGAAAGAAAACCAAAAAAGCCCCCAAAAAGUAAAAAUACUAUGCUUUGAUCCACAUUUAGUUUCCGUAGUUCUCUCUCUCACUUCCUAGCUGUGACCCUAGGCAAGUCACUUAACCCCAAUUGCCUCAGCAAAUUUGUCAGCAAAAAAAAAAGUGUUAAGUGUCUGAGGCCAGUCUUGAAUCCAUGUCCUCCCGACUUCAGGGCUAAUGCGCUCUCCACUGUGCCAUCUAGCUGUCCUUCAUAUAUAUGUCCUUUAAAAAUGCUUGUUGACUGAAUGAUUCUGCCCCAGGGCCUGUUUAUUCUUUCAUCAUCUUCUUCCCAACAUAGCUUUUUUUUUUUUUUUCAGACAAAUGAAAGGUCCAAGAGACAGAGUUUCUGGGUAAUUAAUAAUCAAUUUAUUAAUUAGGCUAACUGAUAACAAAUGGAUGGUGAGGGUUUUCCUCAGUAACCAAAGACAAAACCAUAGUGAUCACUGAAUGCGUAAGUACCUUUGGAAAAAGAGAGUGCCCCUUUCAAGUAGAAAUCAGUCUCAGCCAGUUGAUGAUUAAUGAUGGGAUGGGCAGGUUAGUGAGGAGAUGGACAGGUUAGUGAGGAGGUGGGCAGGUUAGUGAGGAGGUGGACAGGUUAGUGAGGAGGUGGGCAGGUCAAUGAGGAGGUGGGCAGGUUAGUGAGGAGGUGGGCUAAGAGGCUUCAGCUCCUUCUUCUGAGAAUACGACUCGAUCCAGAGCCUCAGCUGCCUCCCUCUCUCCGGACACAGGAGUCCAUCUCUACCCAAAUCACUGCUGAUUUUCUCCAUAACCUGAGUUCCUCCCAUUGCAGGGGAGCAGUACAAGGGCAUGGCCUCAGAGCUUUAGAGCUGAAGGCUGCUAAAGGUUAGAUUCUAUUUAGACUGCAAAUGAAAGGCAGCUCCCCUAAUUGGGGGGGGCUCUGCCCAAGAUCAGGAGCUUGUAGCCUGAGAAUUAGGCCAGUCUCAGAGAACUGACUGACUGAUCCUCAGGGAUUGCUACAUCAUUGAGGAAAUAAAAAGGGGAAACCUCAAUCCUAAUUUAAUAAUUAGUUAUUAAUAGAAUGCAAAAGUAAUCACUUCUCUCAAGUCCUUUUUUAUUUUCUUAGGUUUUUUUAUUCCCAGCUUCCCCUCGUUCUGUACUUAGGCUUCCUGAGGCUAAUCCCAUAGAGCUCUGCUGCUCUUUGGUACAAGACCUAUGAGAAAUCAGUGAAAAUUUCCCCCAUAUUUUUCAUAAAAUCUUUAUUAAAGUAAUGAAUGAGUAAAAAAGCAUGCAUAUUAAGCACUGACUAUGUACCAGGCGUGUUAAAUGCUGGUGAUAUGUAAAUAACACAGUCCUUGCCUUUCAGAAAAUUUCCACUCAAAUGUGGAAGGUCAACAGACGGGGACACGGUAGCUGGGACGGAGAGCAGAGAGAGGGCUAGAGGGUUUUAGAGAAUUCUCACCAAGAGGAGGAGGGAGGGGAGGAAGGGAAGGAGAAGGGAGAACGGGAGAAGAAAUAAAGAGGAGAAGCAGGGAGAGGAAAAAGGGGAGGAGGAGGAAGGGAAGAGAAUGAGGAAGAGAAGAGAAGGAAGAAAAGGGAGGGAGGAGGAGGAGAAGGAAGAAAAGAGAAGGAAAAGCUGGAGGAGGAGGAGGAAGAGGAAGAAGAAGGGAGAUGAUGAGGAAGAGGAGGGGAGGAGGAAGAAAAGGAAGGGAGGAGGAGGAGAAGGAAGAAAAGAGAAGGAGAAGCUGGGGGAGGAGGAAGGGGAAGAAGAAGGGAGAUGAUGAGGAAGAGGAGGGGAGGAGGAAGAAGAGGAAAAGAAAGAAAAAGAGGGAAAUGAGGAAGAGGAAUAAGAAAAGAAAGAGACAGAGAAGCAAGGGGAGGAAGGAAAGGGGAAGGAGAAGGGAGAGGAUGCAGAAGAGGAGGGGGAAGGAGAGGGAAGAAUGGGGAGAAGAAAGAAGGAGGAGGAAGAAAGAGGGGGACAGCUAUGUACUAGCCAGAAGAUGUCUGUGCUCUGUUCUUGGUGCUGAACUGUCCCUCCCUUGUACUGGGGUUACCCAUCCUCCCUUCCAUCUCAUGUUCCUUUCAAUUCCGUUUCUUGGCUAAGUCCCUGUUCAGCCACAUUUCCUCUCCUUAUUCCCCUGUGGACGCAAUGGUGAUUGUGUCACCAGAAUUUAUUUCAUUAUCAAGUCUCCCAUCCUUUUUCAGCCAGUUUCCCUUUUAGCAAAUCAGUCCUGAAGGUAUCCUAGGCUAUUCUAUUCCAUCUCUGCCCCCUUUAAGAUUCAUUCUUCCAGGGGCAGCUGGGUAACACAGGGGCUACAUCAUGGCCACUGGAGUCAGGAGGACCCGAGUUCAAAUGUGACACUUACUAGCUGUAUGACUCUGGGCAAGGAACUCUGAUUGCCUCACAAAAUAAAUAAAUAAAACCAAGUCACUUUUCCAAAGUACAGUUCUGCCCCAGCCAGUGUUCUCCUCGUCUAUAUCAAACCCUUAAGGAUAAGCAGCCAACAAAAGUUUUUAAAAAAUCAUAUUGAGAUUGUGUUGAAUCAAACUGAGGAGACUGUGGUCCACUAGAGCCCCCAGAUCUCUUUUCAGCUCCUUCUCCAUUUUGUACUUCUGGAUUGACUUUUUGUGCCAAAGAGUGAGAUUAUUACUUUUAUCCCUAAUAAACUUAAUCUUAUUAUGUUGAGCCCAGUGCUCUAAUCUGCCAAAAUCUGUUUGGAUCUCGACUCCAUCCUCCAGCAUGUUAAAGGACCCCUACACAGGUUUUUCAUUUGAUGAGGUCUUCCAAAAGUGAUGUCAUUUUUGUUUCCACCUAACCACUUAGAAUCCAGUCUAGAACAGCAGUCUCCCCCCACUUUUUUUCUAUGCCUUGCCUCCUCACCAAUCUUCUGAAAUAGGACAUUAGGAGAACUACUAAUUAGUAACAGCUUAGCACCCAUUCGGGGAGCCAAGCGAUCAGUAACUGAGAAAGCAGCUAACAGGAAUAAUAAACCAGAGCCUUAAGAACCCGGAUGAUGAGCAGCUUCCUAAGAGGCUUUGCUCGGAUCUUUUUCACUGACUGCAAUCGUGUAGAUAAAUGAAUAUAAUGGUUUUCCUAGGAGUUGAGUGGAGAGCCAAGUUUUAGUAGUUUAGCGGUGAUUGAUAAUAGUUGAAUUAGUGACAAAGGAUUCAAUUUGCCCUGGUGAGACACGUUGAUUAGCGUGUUCAAUUCUGGCUGCUACGUGUUAGGAAGGACAUUCAUUAUUAAGCGAGACCAGAGGACAGGGGGAAGCCAGGAUAGUGAGGAACUAGAACUCAGGCCAUGGAAGGUUCGGCUGUCGGACCCCAAGAUCGCAGAGUCACAGACCUGAGAGUUGGGAGGGACCUCAGUGGCCAACUGGUUCAACUUCCACACACACACACACAAAAAAUAUUAAACAGAGAGACUCACAUGAACUGAUGCUGAGUGAAAUGAGCAGGACCAGGAGAUCAUUAUAUACUUCAACAACAAUACUAUAUGAUGAUCAAUUCUGAUGGACGUGACCCUCUUCAACAAUGAGAUGAACCAAAUCAGUUCCAGUGGAGCAGUAAUGAACUGAACCAGCUACACCCAGUGAAAGAACUCUGGGAGAUGACUGGGAACCAUUUACAUAGAAUUCCCAAUCCCUCUAUUUUUGUCUGCCUGCAUUUUUGAUUUCCUUCAUAGGCUAAUUGUACACUAUUUCAGAGUCCGAUUCUUUUUGUACAACUGUUUGGACAUGUAUACAUAUGUUGGAUCUAACUUAUACUUUAACAUAUUUAACGUGUAUUGGUCAACCUGCCAUCUGGGGGAGGAGAUGGGGGGAAGGAGGGGAAAAGUUGGAACAGAAGGUUUUGCAAUUGUCAAUGCUGAAAAAUUACCCAUGCAUAUAUCUUAUAAAUAAUAAGCUAUAAUAUAAAAAAAAAAAGAAUAUUAAGCAGCUUAGUAAUAAGCACAGAUCCCUGGGGCACUUCACUGGAGACUUCCUGCCAAGUUGACACCGAAUCAUUAUAGAAGAAAAACUCAGUAGCCCGCUAUUUUGGCACAAGGCUACCAGGAAUGGAUUUAUCAAUUAAACCCCAAGCCUCUCUGCUUAGAAAAAUAAAAACUCAAGGGGACAGAGCACCAUCCUGCUUUUGAAAAUUUCUGAAAUAAUAAACAAAAGAGCUUUAAGAACCCAUAUGACCAGCAGCUUACUAAGAGGCUUUUUUAUUUACAAUUUUUUUUUAAGCAUUCAUAAGAUCUUAGAUUAGAGCUGGGAGGGAUCUUAGAGGCUACUGAGUCUAAUCCCCUCAUUUUACAACUGAAGGAACUGAGAUACAAGGAAUAUGUAACUUGCCCAGGGUCCCAUAGCCAGUUCUCAUCUGUGUGAUCCGGCAAGUCACUUCACCCUCUUUGCCUCAGUUUCCUCACCUACAAAAUGAUCUGGAAAAGGAAAUGGCAAACUGCUCCAGUAUUUCUGCCAGGAAAACCCCAAAUGGGGUCACAGAGAGUCAGACAUGACUGAACAGCAAAAACCAGCUCUUUAGUGAUGUAUUCUAGCAUGUCCCAGGAAUUGAUGUUUGCAGAUUCUACUGUUCCAUUUUUUUUCCAAAUCUGGACAACUCUGGCCAUUCCCCAAUCUUUCUAUUUUUUACGAUCUUGUAUUUAUCACAGAUAGUUCAGUAUUCUCACUUGUCAGUUCUUUCAGGACCUGGGUCAGAGACUUGACUUUAUCAAAGUCAGCUAGAUGCUCUCUUCUUACCUGAGUCUCAACUCUGUUAAUUAUUUUUGUUCUGUGAUUUUCAGUGCAGAAGUCGUUCCUUUUGACAACGACCAAACAAAUGGCAUUAGACUAAAGCCACUUUCUCUCUCUCUCUGUUUUCUGUUGUCACUGUCCCAGUCACUCUAAACUAAGGUCCAAUCCCUCUUUAAUCUUUUCCAGUAGAGCUUUUUUUUCCCCUUUAAAUAAUUUUGUCUGUAGCUUCUUUUGCCAGCUUCUGCCCACUUCUGACACUACUUUUAUGAGACCAUGUCAUAGUCUUAGAUUCACUCUCUAUUCCCUCAUCUUAUUUCCAUCUUUUGUAGGUUUCUUUUUUAAAAA